GUUGUGAGGUUAAGUGACUAAGCGUACACGGUGGAUGCCUAGGCAGUCAGAGGCGAUGAAGGGCGUGCUAAUCUGCGAAAAGCGUCGGUAAGGUGAUAUGAACCGUUACAACCGGCGAUACCCGAAUGGGGAAACCCAGUGUGUUUCGACACACUAUCAUGUCAUGAAUACAUAGUGGCAUGAGGCGAACCGGGGGAACUGAAACAUCUAAGUACCCCGAGGAAAAGAAAUCAACCGAGAUUCCCCCAGUAGCGGCGAGCGAACGGGGAGGAGCCCAGAACCUGAAUCGGCUUGUGUGUUAGUGGAAGCGUCUGGAAAGUCGCGCAGUAAAGGGUGAUAGCCCCGUACACUAAAAUGCACAGGUCGUGAGUUCGAUGAGUAGGGCGGGACACGUGACAUCCUGUCUGAAUAUGGGGGGACCAUCCUCCAAGGCUAAAUACUCCUGACUGACCGAUAGUGAACCAGUACCGUGAGGGAAAGGCGAAAAGAACCCCGGCGAGGGGAGUGAAAUAGAACCUGAAACCGUGUACGUACAAGCAGUGGGAGCACCUUCGUGGUGUGACUGCGUACCUUUUGUAUAAUGGGUCAGCGACUUAUAUUUUGUAGCAAGGUUAACCGUAUAGGGGAGCCGUAGGGAAACCGAGUCUUAACUGGGCGAAUAGUUGCAAGGUAUAGACCCGAAACCCGGUGAUCUAGCCAUGGGCAGGUUGAAGGUUGGGUAACACUAACUGGAGGACCGAACCGACUAAUGUUGAAAAAUUAGCGGAUGACUUGUGGCUGGGGGUGAAAGGCCAAUCAAACCGGGAGAUAGCUGGUUCUCCCCGAAAGCUAUUUAGGUAGCGCCUCGUGAACUCAUCUUCGGGGGUAGAGCACUGUUUCGGCUAGGGGGCCAUCCCGGCUUACCAAACCGAUGCAAACUCCGAAUACCGAAGAAUGUUAUCACGGGAGACACACGGCGGGUGCUAACGUCCGUCGUGAAGAGGGAAACAACCCAGACCGCCAGCUAAGGUCCCAAAGUCAUGGUUAAGUGGGAAACGAUGUGGGAAGGCAUAGACAGCCAGGAUGUUGGCUUAGAAGCAGCCAUCAUUUAAAGAAAGCGUAAUAGCUCACUGGUCGAGUCGGCCUGCGCGGAAGAUGUAACGGGGCUAAACCAUGC
rnacentral:rRNA from 1 species